AUGAGAGUGUUGAUUCUUGUGUACCUGUUGACAGCCCUUCCUGGUAUCCUGUCUGAUGUACUGCUUCAGGAGUCAGGACCUGGCCUGGUGAAGCCUUCUCAGACAGUGUCCCUCACCUGCACUGUCACUGGCUACUCUAUCACCAGUGGUAAUCACUGGUGGAACUGGAUCCGGCAGGUUUCAGGAAACAAACUGAAGUGGAUGGGGUACAUAAGCUCCAGUGGUACCACUGACAGCAAUCCAUCUCUCAAAAGUCGAAUCUCCAUUACUAGAGACACUUCCAAGAACCAGCUAUUCCUGCAAUUGAACUCUGUGACUACUGAAGAUAUAGCCACAUAUUACUGUGCAAGAGACACAGUGUUGAGUCUUCAGUGUGAGCCCAGACAAAAACCUCCUUAUAGAGCUUCGCUACACCAACAGGUGGAUUGCCAGGGACAUUUAGGACAGGAAAUCUACUUUAGGGAGGGUUAA